CUAAGGCCAGCGAGAGAACUGUUGUUAAGGAACUCGGCAAAAUGACCCCGUAACUUAGGGAUAAGGGGUGCCACCAUCAGGUGGCCGCAGAGAAUAGGCUCAAGCGACUGUUUACCAAAAACAUAGGUUUCUGCUAAGUCGCAAGACGAUGUAUAGGAGCUGACGCCUGCCCGGUGCUGGAAGGUUAAGGGGAUCUGUUAGAGCAA
rnacentral:rRNA from 1 species